rnacentral:misc_RNA from 1 species
AAGUCGUAACAAGGUUUCCGUAGGUGAACCUGCGGAAGGAUCAUUACCGAGUUAGGGUACUCUUCGUGCCCGACCUCCAACCCUUUGUCUACCUGACCAGAUGUUGCUUCGGCAGGCCCGCCGCCCCGCAAAGGGCAGCCGCCGGGGGUCCUUACCGGCCCCGGGUCCGUGCCUGUCGAUGGCCCUUCUAAAACUCUUGCUUAAAACGUGUCGUCUGAGUAAACAAAACAAAAUAAAAACAAAACUUUCAACAACGGAUCUCUUGGUUCUG